UUUUUUAUUUUGUUUUUGUUUCUGUUUUUGUUUUUCCCCUUGGGAUCAGAUGUCUCUGACUGACCAGAUACCAUUCUAUCUAAACAGGGAAUUCCCAAUCUCAACCCCUCCCCGACCCCUGGUUGCUCCCCCUAAUUCUCCUCCUCUUUUAUUUACCCUUUGACCUGAACAUAAUAUAAAUAUUUAAUCUCCUUUAUUACCUGAAAAUUAGCUGUGUUUAUUCUGUUUAUUUAGUGACGGUUACUUAAAAACCAAACGAAAACUCUAGGCUUGGGUCAAACAACCAGUUGAUCUGAUUUUUCCACUGAGGUAAUCCCUGAUGAUAUUUAAUUUCAAUAAUUGACUGGUUGCUCCCCAACCAGUCAAUUAUUAUUUCAGGUUUUCCCAGCCUCCCCCUCCACGCCGCCACAUCCAUUCUCUGCCUAGUAGAAACCCACUCACCUCUCAAAACCUACUUCUAGCACCCCCUCCUCUGUGAACACGCUCCUGACCCCCUGACCAUCUGGCCGCCUCUGCAGCUGAACCAGCGCUCCCCUCUCCGUGCUCCCCAGCGCCUUGGGUGUCAUCGCAGCCAGCCCCUGGGACCCACCAGCAGGCGACGAAAUGGAAGCUCUCUCGAUGGGAUUCUGGAGCACACUUCCUCACUUCAGAUACAGACCCUACAACUUUCUCGUUCUGAGACCCAAUGCAAGUGUCCUAACUUUUCUAUGGACCAGGGAGCCCAUCUUACUCGGUUUCCUUGCUAUGCUUCUGGCCUCUCAGGGAUGGAUGCGAUCCUCAUGGGGUGCAUAGAGGAGGGAGAAAAGGAACUAACCAGAGGAAUAAAUAUGGGGAUGGGGAAAGUUCGAAGGAAGAGGUGGGAAAAGAGGAGGAUUUUUCUAGAAAGGAAAGAGCAGAUCACCUGGAGGCGUCGGAGACACUUCUAACCCCUUAAGUACACUGCACCUCACCCUCGCUGCCACUGCGGCCCAGGUUUGGGCGGCGUGGGUCACUGUCAGCCAGCUCUGUCUGCUGCGCACCAGCGAGGACUGGGGCUGAGGCUCAGGUGCAGUGACAGGAUGAGGCCUGAGCCGGCAGGUCCCAGCAGUCUGUCCUGGCACAGCCCACAAAGUCUGCC
rnacentral:lncRNA from 1 species